ensembl:lncRNA
CAUUGCCUCACUGCUCCCUGGCUCCAAGCACACCAUUUUGUGUUGCCUAAGUAGCUGUCCCUGGUGCCCUAAAAACCAAAUGGGGGGUCCAGGAUAGGUAAGUGUGUGAUUAUGAGCCCAUGGGGCAUGUCCCUGAAAGGUGUGGCAGGGGAGUGGCUUUUGGGAGUCGAACACUGCAACACUUGGUAAGGGAGGGCUUGAAGGAGGUGAGGUGGCACUCAAGAGACAGAGGCAGGCAGAUCUCUGCGAGUUCUAGCCCAGCCUGGUCUACAGAGCGAGUUCCAGGACAAGUUCCAAAGCUACACAGAGAAACCCUAUCACGAAAAACAACAAACAAAAAAAUCCCAAGGAUGACAGUGGAGAAGGGGAUCCGCUCAGGCAGUGGCCAGUCUGUGAAGGACACAGUAGAUAUCACUUAAGUCCAUGCCAGCUUUUGGGACAGGUGUCUAGCAGUGCCCUAGCCUCCAGUGAAGGGAGCCUUUGCCUGUAGAUCAGGAAGGCCCUGACUCACUCCACAGACCUCCUCACAAACGGGGAAGGGAGACCCAAGAUUCCCAGCCAUUAGAGAUGCCUUUCAAAUAACUGGGACCACCUGCCUCCCUCCCUCACCCCUGUAAUCAGAUCUUUUCUUUGGGCCUCCAGCUCACAAAUAAAGACACAGAGACUUACUAAAAAUGAAAGCUUGGCCUUAGCUUGGGCUUGUUAUUAACUAGCUCUUAUAACUUAAAUUAACCCAUUUCUACUCAUCUACAUUCUGUCACAUACCACCCAUCCUGCUUCCUGUGUAUCUCACACCUCAAUUCUCUCUACUUCCUCCCUCUCUCCUGAAGUCCCACCUCUAUCCCCUGCCUAGCAAUUGGAUGUUCAGUUUUUAAUUCACCAACCACAGCAAUAUACAAAUGUACAAAUAUCCCACAACACACCUCAUUCAAACGGGGAGUGGUAAGGAGCAUCAGGAAGUUGGCAGGGGUUUAGCAGAGAUCAGAGCCUGAGUUGCCCCACAGUCAUUGAGGCACAGUCUCUGUGUGUGGGGAGCUCUCCUGGACUCACUACCUUAUGUUUCCAAAGCAGCUCAUCCUGGUGAUGACACCCACUCCUAUCUGCCCCCAAGCAGAAGUGCUUCCUGCACUCCUGUGUACUAUCAUGCUGCCCACAGGCUCACUUAGAGCUUCAGGCAGGACUGAUUUGUCUUUCACCCCAUCCCAUCCAGUCUAUUGGUUCCUGUCCAUCUGAGGUAGGAUAGGCAGGGAAAGGAAAGGUAACAGAGAAGAGCCCCUCACUCUUGUUUUUCUUUUUCCUUUUUUUUUUUUUAAAUUUUAUUUAUUUAUUAUGCAUGCAACAUUCUGCUUCCAUGUAUAUCUGCACACCAGAAGAGGGCACCAGAUCUCAUAAUGGAUGGUUGUGAGCCACCAUGUGGUUGUUGGGAAUUGAACUCAGGACCUCUGGAAGAGCAGUCAGUGCUCUUAACCUCUGAGCCAUCUCUCCAGCCCUUUAUUUGUUUUUCUUGCUAAGAGCCAAGAAACAUCAACUGUUGAAUCCAAAGUUGCUUACAGAAAUACGGUUUUCAUAAGACAUCAGAACAUGAAAUGAACUGGAAUUAGUUUGGGACAGGAUGCUUGUAACUGAGUUCUUAUCAUGUUAGCGCUUCUCUCAUCCCUAACAUUUAAGAAUGCACCUCAUAAAAACACUAUUUCUUUUACAAAAGGAUUUUUGUUUGUUUGGUUUUUGAGACAGGUGAGUUCCAGGACAGCCAGGACUAUGUAGAGAGACCCUCCACCCUCACCUGGGAAAAAGGGAGAGAAUCAGACUCCUGGGAGUAUCUUAGUUCACAGAGGCAUUGAUCCGAUGAGUUUCCGGCCUUGCCCCAUCCAAGUGGGUCUACUGCUACCAAAUAUAGAGGCCCUGUUUUUUUGUUUUUUGGUUUUUUUUUUGUUUGUUUGUUUUGUUUUUUCUUAAGCUUCCAUAGGUCCUUCCCCCAUGUGGGGAUGAAUCCAAUGUCUCUGGAGCGAGGUGUCAGGGACCCCCGGUUUUCCUUGAACACCCAUUUCUACUUGGGGGCCCCUUCCGUUGUUUCUGCUUUGCACUAGUGUUCCCAAACACUUCCCCCUGCCAUGCCCCUCCACAGAAAGGCCCUCUCCAAACACCCCAUCUGAAGUAGGGUUGCCCGGCCCCAUUUCUGUGACUUUUACAUGUCUUUCUUUCAGGGCACUUCAAAUUUUCUACGUUUCUGUGCUAGCUAGUCUCUUCUGGUCCUAUCCGCUAGUCUGUGUAACCAAGUCCUCUAUAACAUGCUCACAAAUGUUCAUUUGUUUAAGUGAGCUAGGAGGGGCCUUGGCCCUGGUGCUGGGUACCCUAGGUGCCACCAGGGGUGUGUCAGGCGACUCACAAGGCCCAGCCUAGGCUAGGGGACGAAGGAAGGGCUUGUUUCUAAGUUUAUCCUGGCCUGCAGACGGCCCAGCUCUUAAAAAGGGGCAAGCCACCUCCCCAGCUCUCAGGCCCUGCUGCGGGAAGCAGGGGCACCCAGUGCCCGACUGCCUUGAAGCUCAGCAGUUGGCGGUUGGGGAAGCGUUGGAAGCGAAGUGCCCAGCCCCCCUCUCCACCCCAUCUCCAUGGAUACCCAUACUCCCCCACCCACCAGUAACGGAGGCGGCCUCUGGCGUCCUCCAGUGCAGACCGUGUGCAGCAGCCACUCACUAACCCACCCCACCCCACCCCACCGUGUCUACUCACAGACCCUUCUCCAGAGAAGCGGUCAGUAGGACUGGGGGGGCGGUAUUGGGGGUUGGAAUGUUUGCUGCCUGGUCAGCCCUGCCCUAGUAUUUUUUUGCAGCCCCGCCCUCCUCCUCCAGUGGCUGCCUAGCAGAAGCCAGAGAGGGCCCAGAGGUUCCCCCUUGGACCAUAUUCCAGGUAACCUGAGGUCAUUGCUUUGGGGACUGCUUCCCUCCCGCACAUCAGGUUAAGGUGCCUCCUUUUACUCUUUGCCUAGAAAACUGAAAGAACAUUGCACAGACCUCUACUUACCACCUACCGCAGGCUAGACCAGGCUUACGAGUGUCAGAGAGGCUGAGGGUGUGAGACCCGCUGUACAGGUCUGUAAUUGUCCAGAGUCCCAGAGUCCCAGAGUCCCAGUGUCUUCGUGCUUAGGCUGACCAACCUGCAAGCAGACCUCCGGGGAGCCUGCCAGCUAAGACCACCCGGCAGAGCUGGCUUCUCCAGUGACCACAGGAUGGGGGUGCAUUCCUAUUCCUGUGUCUUGUAGCAUCCGUGGCUCAUUAUCUCAAAUCCAGACCACUGAUCCCUUCCAGGGACACUGGGACCAGUGGUUCUAAUACUUGCCUGGGACACAUAAGCAGCCACACUCACAACACUGGUCUGGAAUAUUGUAUUUCUGAUAAAUUUUUGUCCCAGAAAAAAAAUGAUAAAACACGAAGACAACAAACCAAAAAACAAAGCAAAACACAGAGCACAGCUCAAAUCCCUCGCAGGGCUGCUCAGAUUCUCCGGCUGGGAGAGAAUACAAGCGAAUGAAAGCACUUCAUGAGGGUUAGAGCUGGAGGGAACAAAGGUUCUACUGCUGUGUGAAGCACAGUGUGGACCCAGGCUACAUGACACGCUCGAGUGUGUGUGUGUGUGUGUGUGUGAGAGAGAGAGAGAGAGAGAGAGAGAGAGAGAGAG